rnacentral:rRNA from 1 species
GUGGGGAAUCUUCCGCAAUGGACGAAAGUCUGACGGAGCGACGCCGCGUGAGUGAAGAAGGCCUUCGGGUCGUAAAGCUCUGUCAUCAGGGACGAACGGCCGGUGGAGUGGAAAGCCACCGGAUUGACGGUACCUGAGAAGGAAGCCACGGCUAACUACGUGCCAGCAGCCGCGGUAAUACGUAGGUGGCAAGCGUUGUCCGGAAUUAUUGGGCGUAAAGCGCGGGCAGGUGGGAUCUUAAGUCCAUUUUUAAAGUUCGGAGCUCAACUCCGUGAUGGGAUGGAAACUGGGAUUCUUGAGUACCGGAGAGGAAAGCGGAAUUCCCCGUGUAGCGGUGAAAUGCGUAGAUAUGGGGAGGAACACCAGUGGCGAAGGCGGCUUUCUGGACGGUGUCUGACACUGAGGCGCGAAAGCCAGGGGAGCGAACGGGAUUAGAUACCCUGGUAGUCC